GGACUAAUGUGCAAAAACUCAAAAUUCCUCUCCCUCAACGUCGACGGUUCUUUCCCGUUCCCCCCAUCACAAACCCUAACCCUAGAAAAGUUGGAUUGCGAUGGCCGAAUGGUGGAUGAGGGUCUUCUGCAUCGGCGACGGCGGAUUCAUCAUCGUGUCUGUUCCAAUGACUCUUCCUUCGUGGUAUCCAUUUCUCCAAAAACAAAACAUAAAAUAGCCUUCUCUAGUUCUUGAUGCUUGCGCUCUCUUUUGGCUCCGUCGUUUGGAUGUUCUUUUUCCAAGAAAACGUUGGACGUGGAAGAGCGGUGAUCUGAUAUGUCAUAUAUCUGAUGAAUCAGGUCCUAAGGGACCAUGGGAGGAUUCGAGGAGGUUGAUCUUUGCGGACGGACACGCAAGGGUGCCGCACGACUUAGGCAAAACCAGCUAAGUCCGUGACAGAACGCUAGCAGGGGAUGAAUUGCGGCCCAGAAGAUGCCUUCCUUUGAUUCUACAUGAGCAGAACAUGCACAUUGAAGAAGCCAAAGUCUUAAUGAGAAAGCCAAAGUCUUAAUGAGAAAGGCCGCACGAAGUGAUUUGGGCACAGAUGAUCUUUUGUCGCUUGCAAGUGAUGAUAGUGAAGAAGAGGGGAGAUUGAUGACAUGGAAUCCAGGCAUAUUCUGAUGGAAAGAUACUGCAGGAGAUUUUGACCUCAACGAUCAUGAUGGAAUUUGCUAAUUAGGAUAAUGUUGAUUUGCUUGGAAAGGAUUGUGAUGCAGAGACACAGCCAGACAGUAAAUUCACUUCACAUGGGCACGGUGGAAGAACAAAUGAUGAUAGCAUUGACAUGUGGAAUAGUAAUUAUGAGGAAGGUGGUGAUUGAUGAUCUUCGUGAUGUUAGUACUAAAGAAAAAAAAAGGGAGAAAAACAAAAAUAUAUCUAAUUGAGCAUACUUAUCACGUGUGUGUGUGUGUGUGUUGAUAUUUUGUCUAUGUUUGACUGACGAUCUUCGUGAUGUUAGUACUAAAGAAAAAAAGGAGGAGAAAAACAAAAAUAUAUCUAA